rnacentral:piRNA from 1 species
UUCUACCCAGGCCUGGCUUCAGUGCUGA